rnacentral:miRNA from 1 species
UCCCUCUCCUCCCUCUCCUC